CCUACGGGAGGCAGCAGUAGGGAAUAUUGCUCAAUGGGGGAAACCCUGAAGCAGCAACGCCGCGUGGGGGAUGAAGGUUUUCGGAUUGUAAACUCCUUUUGUCAGAGAAGAUAAUGACGGUAUCUAACGAAUAAGCACCGGCUAACUCCGUGCCAGCAGCCGCGGUAAUACGGAGGGGGCAAGCGUUACUCGGAAUUACUGGGCGUAAAGAGCGCGUAGGCGGGAUAGCAAGUCAGAUGUGAAAGCCUAUGGCUUAACCACAGAACUGCAUUGGAAACUGGUAGGCUAGAGUAGUGGAGAGGUAAGUGGAAUUCUUGGUGUAGGGGUAAAAUCCGUAGAGAUUAAGAGGAAUACCAAUUGCGAAGGCGACCUGCUGGAACGUAACUGACGCUGAGGCGCGAAAGCGUGGGGAGCAAACAGGAUUAGAUACCCGAGUAGUC
rnacentral:rRNA from 1 species